CACAGCCUGGCUUGUUGAGUGCUCCCAGGUCCCUGCUUGGGAUCUGAACCCCUUUUACCCUGGACUACCAAAGCAGAGCAUGCAAACUUAUCCACUACAGCACCUGGCUGACCCCUGGCCUAUCUUUUAAUUGGGUGUGGAUUUUCUUCUUGAGUGUCAUGAUUUCUUUACGUUUUUUGGAUCCCAGUCCUUUUUUGCCUUUCUUCACUACAUAAUAUCACAAUGUAUCUUACAAGUUAAAUGUAUGAUAAUGUAUGGCAUAGAAAUGGUAGUGAAAAACUAAACCUGGGUCAAGAACAUGAGUUUUUCCAAAACUAGGUGCCAAAGGAAGAUGUUUUGCCUGCAAGCCCAAGGAGGCGAUGGGGAGGGUGACAGGUAUGGCAUGUUUUCUUUUUUUUUUUGCAAAUAUUUUCUCCCAGUCUUUCUCUCUGGCUUGUCUUUUUCUUCUCUUUUUAUUUUAUUCUCCUAAGAGUGUCUUUAGCAGAACAAAUUUUAAAUUUCAAUGAAGUCCAAUUUACCAAUUUUUUUUUUACAUAGAUUAUCCUUUGGUGUUAUACCUAAAAUCUCACUGCCAAAGCCAAGGUCAUAUAGAUGUUUUUCCUGUGUUUUUACAAGGUGUUUGUACUUUUGCAUUUCACAUUAGGUCUAUGACCCAUUUUGAGUCAAUUUUUGUGAAAGCUGUAAGGUCUGUGUCAAGAUUCCUUUUUCUUUCUUUUGUUUUUUUUUGGUAUGGUCAUCCAGUUGUUCCAGCACCAUUUGUUGAAAAGGCUGUUCUUUCCCUACUGUAUUGCCUUUGCGUUCUUUGUCAAAAAUCAGUUGCCUGUAUUUGCGUGAGUCUAUUUCUGGACUCUCUGUUGUUUUCCGUUCCUCUAUGUAUUUACUCUUCUGUCAGUACCAUGCUGUAUUGAUUAUUAUAGCUUUCUAGUAAGUCUUGAACUAGGGUACUGCGAGUUCUCCAACUUUAUUCUGUUCCAUCAAUAUUGUGUUGGCUGUUCUGGGUCUUUUUCUCUCCACACAAACUUUAGAAUCAGUUUGUGGAUUUCCACAAAAUGGCUUACUGUGAUUUUGGUUGGGAUUGUGUUGAAGCUAUAGAUCAAGUUGGAAAGAAUUGAUGUCUUAACAAUGUGAAAUCUUCCAACCCAUGAACAUGGGACAUGUCUGUCCAUUUAUUUAGAACUUUUAUUUCUUUUAUCAGAGUUUCAUAGUUUUCAUCAUCUAAAUCUUACACGUAUUUUGUUAGACUUAUACUUAAAUAUUUCUCUUUUUUUUUGUGCAAGUAUGAAUGUUACUGUGUUUUUAAUGUCAAAUUCCAAUUGUUUAUUGCCGGUUUAUUGGAAAACAAUAGAUUUUUAUAGGUUAACCUUGUAUCCUGCAAUUUUCUUAUAAAUGCUAAUUAAUUUCAUUCCUUUUUUUUGUGGAUUCUCUGGGAUUUUCUGUAUAGAAAGUCAUGUCAUCUGCAAAUAAAGACGGUCUUGUUUUUUCGGUCCCCAUCUUAUAUCUUUUUUUCCUUUUGUUGUUUAUUGCAUCAACAAGGACUUCCAGUACUGUGUUGAGUAUGAGCGGUGAGAGGGGCAUCCUCGCCUGCUUCCUGAUCUCGGGGGAAAGCUUGUGUUGAUUGAUGGAUUACAUGAAUUGAUUUUGGACCACUGAACCAGCCCUGCGUUCCUGGAAUAAGCCCACUACGUCAUGGUAUAUAACUCCUUUUUUACAUUGUUGGAUUCAAUUUGCUAAUGCUUCUUAAGGAUUUUUGCAUCUAUCUUCAUGAGAGAUAUUUGUUUUUAGUUUUCCUUUCUUGUACCCUGUCUGGCUUUGGUAUUAUGUCUGGCUGCCCUCAUAGAAUGAAUUAGGAGAUAUUCCCCGGCAUCGACCUUGUAGAAGAGAUUGUAGAGAAUAGGUAUACUUUCCUCCUUAAAUUUUUGGUAGAAUUCACUGAUAAACACACCUAGGCCUGGUACUUUCUGUUUUGGAAGGUUAUUAAUUAUUGAUGCAAUUUGUUUAAUAGAUGUAAGCCUAUUCAGAUUAUCUGUUUCUCCUUGUGUGAACUUUCAUAGUACACUUGACUUUUAAUGAAUUUGUCCAUUUUACCCCCAUUAUCCACUUUGUGGGAAUAGAGUCAUUCAUAUUAUCCCUUUAUUAACAUUUUACUCUUCAUAGGAUUAGUAGUUAUAUCUCUCUUUUAUAGAUGAUAUUGGUAUUUUGUGUCUUCUCUUUUUUUAUUUCUCACUUAAUUGGGCUAGGAUAGUCAGUGUUAUUGAUCUUUCCCAAA